AUCCGGGUUGCGGACAGUGUCUGGUGGGUAGUUUGACUGGGGCGGUCUCCUCCUAAAGAGUAACGGAGGAGCACGAAGGUUGGCUAAUCCUGGUCGGACAUCAGGAGGUUAGUGCAAUGGCAUAAGCCAGCUUGACUGCGAGCGUGACGGCGCGAGCAGGUGCGAAAGCAGGUCAUAGUGAUCCGGUGGUUCUGAAUGGAAGGGCCAUCGCUCAACGGAUAAAAGGUACUCCGGGGAUAACAGGCUGAUACCGCCCAAGAGUUCAUAUCGACGGCGGUGUUUGGCACCUCGAUGUCGGCUCAUCACAUCCUGGGGCUGAAGUAGGUCCCAAGGGUAUGGCUGUUCGCCAUUUAAAGUGGUACGCGAGCUGGGUUUAGAACGUCGUGAGACAGUUCGGUCCCUAUCUGCCGUGGGCGCUGGAGAACUGAGGGGGGCUGCUCCUAGUACGAGAGGACCGGAGUGGACGCAUCACUGGUGUUCGGGUUGUCAUGCCAAUGGCA
rnacentral:rRNA from 1 species